GUGAGUGAUGAAGGUUUUCGGAUCGUAAAGCUUCUGUUGUUAGGGAAGAAACAAGUACCGUUCGAAUAGGGCGGUACCUUGACGGUACCUAACCAGAAAGCCACGGCUAACUACGUGCCAGCAGCCGCGGUAAUACGUAGGUGGCAAGCGUUGUCCGGAAUUAUUGGGCGUAAAGGGCUCGCAGGCGGUUUCUUAAGUCUGAUGUGAAAGCCCCCGGCUCAACCGGGGAGGGUCAUUGGAAACUGGGGAACUUGAGUGCAGAAGAGGAGAGUGGAAUUCCACGUGUAGCGGUGAAAUGCGUAGAGAUGUGGAGGAACACCAGUGGCGAAGGCGACUCUCUGGUCUGUAACUGACGCUGAGGAGCGAAAGCGUGGGGAGCGAACAGGAUUAGAUACCCUGGUAGUCCACGCCGUAAACGAUGAGUGCUAAGUGUUAGGGGGUUUCCGCCCCUUACUGCUGCAGCUAACGCAUUAAGCACUCCGCCUGGGGAGUACGGUCGCAAGACUGAAACUCAAGGAAUUUGACGGCA
rnacentral:rRNA from 1 species